rnacentral:rRNA from 1 species
AGUGAACGCUGGCGGUAGGCCUAACACAUGCAAGUCGAACGGCAGCACAGUAAGAGCUUGCUCUUACGGGUGGCGAGUGGCGGACGGGUGAGGAAUACAUCGGAAUCUACUUUUUCGUGGGGGUUAACGUAGGGAAACUUACGCCAAUACCGCAUACGACCUACGGGUGAAAGCAGGGGAUCUUCGGACCUUGCGCGAUUGAAUGAGCCGAUGUCGGAUUAGUUAGUUGGCGGGGUAAAGGCCCACCAAGUCGACGAUCCGUAGCUGGUCUGAGAGGAUGAUCAGCCACACUGGAACUGGGACACGGUCCAGACUCCUACGGGAGGCAGCAGUGGGGAAUAUUGGACAAUGGGCGCAAGCCUGAUCCAGCCAUACCGCGUGGGUGAAGAAGGCCUUCGGGUUGUAAAGCCCUUUUGUUGGGAAAGAAAAGCAGCAGGUUAAUACCCCGCUGUUCUGACGGUACCCAAAGAAUAAGCACCGGCUAACUUCGUG